CCCCUUAACAAAAAACACACACUUGCAACCAAAAACUCACCUAUUGAGCUGAUUCGAGGCAAAACCGAAAGUGGGGUGUUGCUAUUUCGUGAUUCUAUCGGAGACUGGAGCCAAGAUCCCCUUUUUACAGCGACUGUGGCAGAGGAAGAAGAGCAGCUCGCUACUUUUAACAGUUGAGGAUAAAAAGAAGAAAAGUAAGAGCUUGGGAUCUUUUUGAGCUAUGCUUUUUGCCCUUUUUGAUAUUGAUGAGAGUAUCUAGAUUAGAAUAGGAGCCAUUGUUGAAGGUGAAGGUGAAGGUGAAGGUGAAGGUGUAUAUAUAUAUCUCCUAAUUCUGGCAUCGACUUAGGAUGGGGUUUGCAGUUCUGGGGAAAUCACCAACCGUUGGAUUUGGAAAAUGUGACGGCCAUCGAAUUACGUCAGUGUUUGUCAAAAUAUUGGAGGAUAUUAUGCAGCCAUUUUUAUACCAUUUCCAGCUGUAGAGAUCAUACUGUUUCUUUUUUUUAUUCUUCUUUUUUCACUUUUUUAACCCAUAUUUGAAGGUCACACAACCACGUCGUCAAUAUUCGACAUGUAAAAUACACGAACUUUAGUUAAUUUUUUAUUUUCAAUUUUUUAUACAUUAUCCCACCACACUCUUUCUACUUUUCAUCUCUAUUUUUUAUAAAGUGAAAUCUCUUUUUCAUUCACAAUAUAUUUUUAUCUAAUAUUUUUUAAAAUUCAUGUAGCUUACAAAUAUUCACACUCUCUUUAUUUUUCAUCUCUAUUUUUUAUAAAGUGAAACCCCUUUUUUAUUCACAAUAUAUUUUUAUUUAAUAUUUUUUAAAUUCGUGUCACUUAUAAAUAUUCAUGCUGUGAGAUCGAAAGAGUAUAAUCUACGUUGCACAAUCUUGAAAUCACUAAUGACCGUGUCAAUAGUAGGUCACAACAUCAAGUCCAUCUAUUUGACUUAGCAAUUUGUAGUUGACUUUCUUGCCGAGUUAAAAUUAUGAUUUUUAUUAUGAAAGAUUUUAAGAAGAAGAGAAAAGGAAAAUAAUGUGCAAGAUUUAUCACUAAUUUUAUAAAUAUAUACAUAAAUUUCAGUUUGAGCCCAGUAGCCUACCUGAGGUUAAGUUAUGUUGGGCCAGAACUCGAGGCCCAUAAAGAUCCCAGUGGGCUCAAUUAGAUUUCGUGCCGACAUAAAGUUUUAUGUGCUGCUUCACAUAGUAAACUUAAAUCUUUUGAAGUAAAGGGUAAAUAAUAUGAAAACUUCUGAACUAUACCAGCUUUAUCAAAAAUACCUUGAAAAUUUUGAAAUGUUCUCUAAAUCCUCAAACUAUCAAAUUUUUAUCAAAUAUAUUAUGCAUCUAUUUUUCGGUAACCAGAAUCGUGAUGUGCCUCGCCAUGCUACAAUGUAAUUUAUAUUAUAUAUUUUUUAAAUGACAUGGCAAAAACGACUUCGUUUCGUACCAUAUAAUUUUAAAAAAAUCAUUCUAAAAUUUAAAAUUCGCUUCUAUCGUAUUUGAAAUUCAUGCUAAGUCAAGUGGGACGGAGGGAAUAUUAUAUACAUAUAGAUAUAGAUUAUAUAGAUCGUAAAUUUAUUUAAUAAUCCGCGAAAGUGAUACAUUGGUUACUAAAGUAUAUAAUACAGUAAAUAAAUUUGAUAUUUUUUGCCAAUUAUAAAUAUUUAUCCUAUACACACAAACAUAAUAUAUAUUUUUCACCAAUAAACUUAGAUAUAUAUAUAUAUAUAUAUAUUUUAAUUAUUAUUAUUAUUAUUAUUAUUAUUAUUAUUAUUAUUAUUAUUAUUAUUAUUUAUUUUGUACGUUUGGGGGUAGGGUAGUGUAGCGGUGGGUAGUUGUAAUCCUGGUACCUCUACUCGCACCGCUUNACAGCGACUGUGACAGAGGAAGAAGAGCAGCUCGCAACUUUUUCCGGAACUGCGGUUUUAAAAGUUGAGGAUAAAAAGAAGAAAAGCAAGAGCUUGGGAUCUUUUUGAGCUAUGCUUUUUGCCCUUUUUGAUAUUGAUGAGAGUAUCUAGAUUAGAAUAGGAGCCAUUGUUGAAGGUGAAGGUGUAUAUAUAUAUCUCCUAAUUCUGGCAUCGACUUAGGAUGGGGUUUGCAGUUCUGGGGAAAUCACCAACCGUUGGAUUUGGAAAAUGUGACGGCCAUCGAAUUACGUCAGUUUUUGUCAAAAUAUUGGAGGA
rnacentral:lncRNA from 1 species